rnacentral:sRNA from 1 species
GGAAGGAUCAUUAUCGUACAAAAUGUGAGAAGCAUGCGAGGGCUGUCGCUGACCCAAAAGUCGUGCACGCCCGAGUGUGUUCUCUCACAUGAUCAAUCCAUCUCACCCUUUUGUGCAUCACCGCGUGGGCACCCUUCGGGAUCGUCUCGGAGGGGGCUCGCGUUUUCACACAAAACCCCCCUUUUAAAAAAGUGUAGAAUGACCUCAUUUAUGCGCUAACCCGCAAUCAAUACAACUUUCAACAACGGAUCUCUUGGCUCUCGCAUCGAUGAAGAACGCAGCGAAAUGCGAUACGUAAUGUGAAUUGCAGAAUUCAGUGAAUCAUCGAAUCUUUGAACGCACCUUGCGCCCCUUGGUAUUCCGAGGGGCACACCCGUUUGAGUGUCGUGAAAACCUCAACCUCCUUGGUUUCUUCUGGAGACCAAAGCAGGCUUGGACUUUGGAGGCCCUUUGCUGGCACCUCUCUUUUGAAGGCCAGCUCCUCUCAAAUGAAUUAGCAGGGUCCUCUUUGCUGAUCCUCGACGUGUGAUAAGAUGUUUCCAUGUCUUGGUUUCUGGCUCUGUCACCUUUGGGACCCGCUUCUAACCGUCUUGACCUUGCAUCGAGACAACGUU